rnacentral:rRNA from 1 species
UGAGGAAUAUUGCUCAAUGGGCGAAAGCCUGAAGCAGCGACGCCGCGUGGGUGAUGAAGGUCUUCGGAUCGUAAAGCCCUUUUCUGUGUGACGAGGAAGGACGGUAGCACAGGAAUAAGUGUCGGCUAACUACGUGCCAGCAGCCGCGGUAAAACGUAGGACGCAAGCGUUAUCCGGAAUUACUGGGCGUAAAGCGCGUGUAGGCGGUUUUGUAAGUCACUUGUGAAAGCUCAUGGCUAAACUGUGAGAGGUCAGGUGAUACUGCAAGGCUAGAGGGCAGUAGAGGGGUGCGGAAUUCCGGGUGUAGUGGUGAAAUGCGUAGAUAUCCGGAGGAACACCAGAGGCGAAGGCGGCGCCCUGGACUGUACCUGACGCUGAGACGCGAAAGCAUGGGUAGCGAACGGG